rnacentral:rRNA from 1 species
GUGCUGCAUGGUUGUCGUCAGCUCGUGCCGUGAGGUGUCGGCUUAAGUGCCAUAACGAGCGCAACCCUUAUCUUCAGUUACUAACAGGUCAUGCUGAGGACUCUGGAGAGACUGCCGUCGUAAGAUGUGAGGAAGGUGGGGAUGACGUCAAAUCAGCACGGCCCUUACGUCCGGGGCUACACACGUGUUACAAUGGGGGGUACAGAAGGCAGCUACCGGGCGACCGGAUGCCAAUCCCAAAAACCUCUCUCAGUUCGGAUCGAAGUCUGCAACCCGACUUUGUGAAGCUGGAUUCGCUAGUAAUCGCGCAUCAGCCAUGGCGCGGUGAAUACGUUCCCGGGCCUUGUACACACCGCCCGUCAAGCCAUGAAAGCCGGGGGUACCUGAAGUACGUAACCGCAAGGAGCGUCCUAGGGUAAAACUGGUAAUUGGGGCUAAGUCGUAACAAGGUAGCCGUACCGGAAGGUGCGGCUGGAUCACCUC